rnacentral:rRNA from 1 species
GCAUGGCGGCAGCUACCAUGCAGUCGAGCGGAACGAUGGAAGCUUGCUUCCAGGCGUCGAGCGGCGGACGGGUGAGUAAUGCAUAGGAAUCUGCCCGGUAGUGGGGGAUAACCUGGGGAAACCCAGGCUAAUACCGCAUACGUCCUACGGGAGAAAGCAGGGGAUCUUCGGACCUUGCGCUAUCGGAUGAGCCUAUGUCGGAUUAGCUAGUUGGUGAGGUAAUGGCUCACCAAGGCCGCGAUCCGUAGCUGGUCUGAGAGGAUGAUCAGCCACAUCGGGACUGAGACACGGCCCGAACUCCUACGGGAGGCAGCAGUGGGGAAUAUUGGACAAUGGGCGAAAGCCUGAUCCAGCCAUGCCGCGUGUGUGAAGAAGGCUUUCGGGUUGUAAAGCACUUUCAGUGGGGAAGAAAUCCUCGGGGCCAAUACCCUCGAGGGAGGACAUCACCCACAGAAGAAGCACCGGCUAACUCCGUGCCAGCAGCCGCGGUAAUACGGAGGGUGCGAGCGUUAAUCGGAAUUACUGGGCGUAAAGCGCGCGUAGGCGGCGUGAUAAGCCGGUUGUGAAAGCCCCGGGCUCAACCUGGGAACGGCAUCCGGAACUGUCAGGCUAGAGUGCAGGAGAGGAAGGUAGAAUUCCCGGUGUAGCGGUGAAAUGCGUAGAGAUCGGGAGGAAUACCAGUGGCGAAGGCGGCCUUCUGGACUGACACUGACGCUGAGGUGCGAAAGCGUGGGUAGCAAACAGGAUUAGAUACCCUGGUAGUCCACGCCGUAAACGAUGUCGACUAGCCGUUGGGGUCCUUGUGACCUUUGUGGCGCAGUUAACGCGAUAAGUCGACCGCCUGGGGAGUACGGCCGCAAGGUUAAAACUCAAAUGAAUUGACGGGGGCCCGCACAAGCGGUGGAGCAUGUGGUUUAAUUCGAUGCAACGCGAAGAACCUUACCUACUCUUGACAUCGUGCGAACUUUCCAGAGAUGGAUUGGUGCCUUCGGGAACGCACAGACAGGUGCUGCAUGGCCGUCGUCAGCUCGUGUUGUGAAAUGUUGGGUUAAGUCCCGUAACGAGCGCAACCCUUGUCCCUAUUUGCCAGCACGUAAUGGUGGGAACUCUAGGGAGACUGCCGGUGACAAACCGGAGGAAGGUGGGGACGACGUCAGGUCAUCAUGGCCCUUACGAGUAGGGCUACACACGUGCUACAAUGGCCGGUACAAAGGGUUGCGAAGCCGCGAGGUGGAGCUAAUCCCGAAAAGCCGGUCUCAGUCCGGAUCGGAGUCUGCAACUCGACUCCGUGAAGUCGGAAUCGCUAGUAAUCGUGAAUCAGAAUGUCACGGUGAAUACGUUCCCGGGCCUUGUACACACCGCCCGUCACACCAUGGGAGUGGACUGCACCAGAAGUGGUUAGCCUAACUUCGGAGGGCGAUCACCACGUGUCCGGCC